rnacentral:tRNA from 1 species
GCCGAUGUAGCUCAGCUGGUAGAGCAGCUCACUCGUAAUGAGCAGGUCAGCGGUUCGAGUCCGCUCAUCGGCUCCA